rnacentral:rRNA from 1 species
GACGAACGCUGGCGGCGUGCCUAAUACAUGCAAGUCGAACGCUUCUUUCCUCCCGAGUGCUUGCACUCAAUUGGAAAGAGGAGUGGCGGACGGGUGAGUAACACGUGGGUAACCUACCCAUCAGAGGGGGAUAACACUUGGAAACAGGUGCUAAUACCGCAUAACAGUUUAUGCCGCAUGGCAUAAGAGUGAAAGGCGCUUUCGGGUGUCGCUGAUGGAUGGACCCGCGGUGCAUUAGCUAGUUGGUGAGGUAACGGCUCACCAAGGCCACGAUGCAUAGCCGACCUGAGAGGGUGAUCGGCCACACUGGGACUGAGCCACGGCCCAGACUCCUACGGGAGGCAGCAGUAGGGAAUCUUCGGCAAUGGACGAAAGUCUGACCGAGCAACGCCGCGUGAGUGAAGAAGGUUUUCGGAUCGUAAAACUCUGUUGUUAGAGAAGAACAAGGACGUUAGUAACUGAACGUCCCCUGACGGUAUCUAACCAGAAAGCCACGGCUAACUACGUG